UACGAAGGGUGCAAGCGUUACUCGGAAUUACUGGGCGUAAAGCGUGCGUAGGUGGUUUGUUAAGUCUGUUGUGAAAGCCCCGGGCUCAACCUGGGAAUGGCAAUGGAUACUGGCAGGCUAGAGUGCGGUAGAGGGUAGUGGAAUUCCCGGUGUAGCGGUGAAAUGCGUAGAGAUCGGGGAGGAACACCAGUGGCGAAGGCGGCUACCUGGACCAGCACUGACACUGAGGCACGAAAGCGUGGGGGAGCAAACAGGG
rnacentral:rRNA from 1 species